rnacentral:lncRNA from 1 species
CCAAGCCUUGGAGCACUUAAGUCCCAGCAUGACUAGCAAACUUGAGACUCCUUUUGUUCUGGAUGACACCAUUGGAUUAGAAAACUUUCAACAUGUUGGGCCACAGAAAGAGAACCAACAGUUUAUCAAGGAAGUGGACUCGAGAACGACCAAUAGAAUUCUCCAGAAACAAAUGGCGACUGGUGCUGACACUCAUCCAGGGAAUGCAGACCCAGC